rnacentral:rRNA from 1 species
GACGAACGCUGGCGGCGUGCCUAAUACAUGCAAGUUGAGCGCUGAAGGUUGGUACUUGUACCAACUGGAUGAGCAGCGAACGGGUGAGUAACGCGUGGGGAAUCUGCCUUUGAGCGGGGGACAACAUUUGGAAACGAAUGCUAAUACCGCAUAAAAACUUUAAACACAAGUUUUAAGUUUGAAAGAUGCAAUUGCAUCACUCAAAGAUGAUCCCGCGUUGUAUUAGCUAGUUGGUGAGGUAAAGGCUCACCAAGGCGAUGAUACAUAGCCGACCUGAGAGGGGGAUCGGCCACAUUGGGACUGAGACACGGCCCAAACUCCUACGGGAGGUAGCAGUAGGGAAUCUUCGGCAAUGGACGAAAGUCUGACCGAGCAACGCCGCGUGAGUGAAGAAGGUUUUCGGAUCGUAAAACUCUGUUGGUAGAGAAGAACGUUGGUGAGAGUGGAAAGCUCAUCAAGUGACGGUAACUACCCAGAAAGGGACGGCUAACUACGUG